rnacentral:lncRNA from 1 species
CAGCUGCCGUGACCCCAUCUACGCGUACCUCGGCGGGGCCUACUACUGGGACAAGCCGCCGGCGAUCGCGUCGGACGGGUGCACGUACACGUACAUCCCAGUGCUGGGGCGGGAGGCGGAGACCAUGACGGCGGCCAACUACAGCCGGCUCCUGAAGGACGGAUUCGUCCUGGAGUGGGAGGCGGCAGGGAUCGGCGACUGCGCCGCCUGCAACGCGAGGGGCGGGAAGUGCCGGUACGACAAAGCCACCGCGGCGUUCCGGUGCCUCUGCCCCGACGGCAGCCGCGCGGCGGGGUCGACAUGCUCCGGUGAGUAGUCACUCUCCCACUUCCCUCCGUACACGUACAGUAGUCAGCGUGUGUGGACGCCGGCGGGCGACCCGGCGCAUGCCGCUUUCAGCUGCAAGACUUUCUUGGUCCAUUGCAUCAUGCGGAUUGCGGCGUGGCGAAGGCGCAGCGGCGCUGGCGCAUGCAUCGGCGUCGCGGUAGUGCUGCCCAUGGGGUUGGAUCCUCGUAGGCCCCAUGGAGAUUUUGCACGCAGCUCUCGCUCUCAGUAACCUUGGCUAGUUUCCCUCGAUCCACCGGUAGAAUGGCCCGCGGCAGCUGGAGUGAUGGCUAUCUUAAGACUGUGUGGCGCGCGCACUGGCCACGCCGCAAUCCCUGGUAAACGCGUGUGCGGUCAAUGUCGUCUUCCCUGCCGGGGCAGCAGAGCGCUCGCCGCGGCGCGGAGCAACAGGGGAGGGGGCCUGCCGCUGCCGGGCGUCGCUUUCGCCUGCCAUUAGCUUCUCCACGUGCUCUUUCGCGCAUGAUCGUUCCCAUUAAGGGUGUUUGAUACGAGCUGCUAUAGGAGGGUCAUAUCGGAUGUUCGGAUGCUAAUUAGGAGGACUAAACAUGAGCUAAUUAUAAAACUAACUGCAGAACCCCUAUACUAAUUCGCGAGACGAAUCUAUUAAGCCUAAUUAAUCCAUCAUUAGCAACUGGUUACUGUAGCACUACAUUGUCAAAUCAUGGACUAAUUAGACUUAAUAGAUUCAUCUCGCGAAUUAGACUCCAUCUGUACAAUUAGAUUUGUAAUUAGACUAUAAUUAAUACUUCUAAUUAGUAUUCAACAUCCGAUGUGACAUGUCCUAAAGUUUAGGAGGUGGUACCAGUGCGCUGACACAUCAACGGUAGGGUAUAUCAUCACUUGCCUCGAGCUUUAGCUUGAUCCAUAUCUUGUUGCUAUUAGGGGGUGUUUGAUACAAGGUGCUAAAGUUUAGAAGGGCCAUAUCGGAUGUUCAGAUGCUAAUUAGCAGGAUUAAACAUGAGCUAAUUACUAAACUAAUUGCACAGAUGGAGUUUAAUUCGCGAGAUGAAUCUAUUAAGGCUAAUUAAUCCAUCAUUAGCAAAUGGUUACUGCAACACCACAUUGUCAAAUCAUGAACUAAUUAGGCUUAAUAGAUUCGUCUCGCGAAUUAGACUCCACCUGUGCAAUUAGUUUUGUAAUUAGACUAUAUUUAAUACUUCUAGUUAGUAUCCAAACAUCUGAUGUGACAGGUGUUAAAGUUUAGCAGGGUAUCCAAACACCGCCUUAGUAGGUUGCAGUUAGCAUUGCUGACUUGCUGUCUUUGCUGAAGUGUCCAUUUGUGGCAAGUAGGUGCACUAAGUGCGUGAGGCUAGGGUCACAAGUGGUCACCAAAUCUGCACUUCUGAUUUUCUAGUCAAAAUAAUAAGGGGCACUUUUUAUGGACAAGUACCUCAAGUAGGUUUACAUGAUAGUCUUUGGAUCCCAGCCCAAAUUACAGGCAAAUAUUGUCUUGCAGUGUUUGAUUUAUAAAUAUGAAAAAAAAUCCAAAUUAUCAUAGGCUUUGUUCAUAAGCUUAGAGCUUGGAGCUUUGCCGUAGAAAAGCAGCAUGAAUAACCAUUUAGAUGGAAUGCACAAGAAAAACACAUGACUUUGCAGGGGGUCCCACGUGUAUCCUGCUCAAAGCCCCUCCAAUGCUCCAGCAUCUCGGUCACCAGAACAGAGCAGUCAAACUCGGAGACGAGGACCGGUCCACACAUUCAGCACCAUCCUUCGCGCCUUCCUUCCGGCCCCAUUAAGGCUCCUUUAGCACGGCUCAUCCAUUGGCUUCUCGAGUGAUUUUUGAUGAAACCAUGCCAAACAGGCACCGUCAAAACGGCUAGCAAGCAAAAGCCAGGCGGAAGCCCCGCAAAAUGCGCUGAGUGCGUUCCUCCCCGCGCGAGAAGCUAAAAAUAGUGGCUUAUCUUGGCUUCUCCCCGUCGGAACGAGACCAAUUCCAUCGCUAACCUCGGUGCUUACCUGGUGGCGGGGUGGAGCACCGGUCCAGCGGCGGACGGAGGAGGAGAGAGGAGGGGAAAAAGAAAAGAAGGGCCUGGCGGGGUGGCGGCGGAGUGGCGGAGGAGGAGGGCCAGGGUGGUUAGGUGGUGGCGGAGGAGGAGGUCCGGUGCGGCGCCAUCGCGGCGGAUGGGCAGAGGAGGAGGUCCGGUGUAGCGCCGUGUUGGCGGAGGGAGCCGGGGUCGGCGGGGUGGCGCUGGAGGGGUGGAGGAGGAGGGUUGGGUGGAUAAGGUCGGGAGGGAGGUGCCGAUCGGAUAAGGAGAGAAGGGAGGAAAAGAAAAGAAGGGAGAAGGAAAGAGAAAUAAAAAAGAAAGAAAAAGAAAAGAAAAAUGAGGAGAAAAAAAAGAAAAGAGAAAAAAUAUAAGAGUAUUUUGGACAUUUGACACCUUCUUUCCAAUCUAAAAAGCCAGGAGAAGCUGAGCUAGAGCAAAAAAAAAUCUGUUUCAUUCCAGAUGCGCUAGAGCCAGAGCUGUUUUUUCACGAGCCAAAGUCGUGCCAAACGGACCCUAAAUCGUCAGGCUCGCCUCAUGAAUCACCUUCUCUUCUUCUCCGUGUUCUUCCCAAACCGUCUCCUUGUCGACCUCCAGCAACCCCAAGCGUCUUCCCUUGUGUCGCGAAGAUGCACGCGUGUCCUGUUCCUGCCGCUGCCCUGCUGUGCCCAGUCGUGCUACUUCUAGCUCUGCUUCCCAGUCCCGCCACCACCGCUGCCGCCCUGAACACGUCCAACCCCUGCGCGCCGGCGUUGUGCGGCGGCAUCAACAUCGCCUUCCCGUUCUGGCUCGCCGGCAAGCAUCCGCCGGAGUGCGGCUACAAGGCCUACCAGGUCACCUGCGACAAAGGCAAUCUUACUCUCAAGAACUCUUACUGGACGUACCAACUCCUGGACAUCUUCUACCAAAACAGCUCCUUCAGAGCCGACCUGUCUGGAGGCCUCUGCGACUUCAAGAAUUUCGUCAACGCCGCCUCCGACCUCGGCCUCUCGCCGUUCAAGAUUAGCCCCAAGAACCAGGAGCUGUUCUUCCUCUACGACUGCGAACUGCGGGGAAGACACGCACCUCGUUCUUGGACGCUCGUGAACUGUUCGUCGCCGGAUGACCCACCGUGGGCGUUUGCCUUGCUUGGGAAGAAUUACACGCCAGGUGGCACUGGGAUGCCACCGCCGAUGAAUUGCAACGUGUCGACGACUCCGGUGCUGGGAUACGAGGGAGCGACGGGGGCAGACUAUCAACGGCUGCUGAAGGGUGGUUCUCUGCUCGAGUACACGGAUGAUGAGCCCUGCAAGGAUUGCACGGAUACCGGCGGCCGGUGCCGGGUUAAUGUAUCCGACGAUGCGUUCGCGUGCUACUGCAACGACGGUGACGACGGCUGGUUUAUUUGCGGUGAGUAUGUUUAUGCUUAUGAUUUAGAAUUCAUUCUGCUUCUUACUGUUUCCUUCAUCUUGCGUUGCCUCCAUAUUCGACUCGAACCAACGUGCUUAAGCCUAGUAUAUUAGCACAACACAUGUCACUUGCCCAUUAUACAAUGUCAAUGGAAUGCAUUGGAUGCAUACUAGUAGCCAUCAUUCUAUCGACAUGGUAAACUCCAUUUUCAUUCUUUCUUCUCUAUUAAUACAUACCAAGCAGAGUCCUGCUCCUGCAAGCUGUUUCGGAAAAAAGAAGAAUUGGUAACAUCCAAACUAGCAAAGGUGCUAACACUAAAAAAUGUUAAAGAAAUCUUGAGAGAGAGAGAGACGACGAUUAUGCAAAUGCAUCCGCUGUGCAUCCGCUGUAAAUUAACUCCGCCGGCCGCCAUCGCAGUCGAUCUUGACCUCUGGGCUCAUCGUGUCCUUGGAACACGGACACAGAUGUGGCGUACCUUAUUUUGUAACAUAACUUAAGUACUCUCGCCUCUCCUACCCCCACAUCGCAAACAUGUCAAUUACAUGGUCGUAAAUAAUGUAAGGUAACAUAAUACAAAAUAGAAUAAGAGAUUCUGAUGGUCAAGGUGUAGCCUUAAAUACCACAAUGAGGCAAACUGCGGCAUGCGUCAAGUGUAUCAUCCACUAUCAAUGCAUCUCCUUUGUCAAUUGUCGCUUCCAGCUCUAAUAAAAAGGAAGGGCAACAUUAUACACACAAGAAUGGCAGAUCAUAGAUGUCAACUCAGCGGUGUAGCAUAUUAUUUGAAUUUUAUUUGCAAAUUCGGAACUGUCAAAUAUGUCACUCAUUCCUUCCUUUAAGCAAAAGAAUCAAUAAGUGCUAUUUGAUGCUUUUCUAAGCUAAUGCUAUUUCAGGUAGCAAAAGGAUUGGCACGAAGAUAAUAAUAAUGAUAGGUAUGCUACACUUAACAUAAUUUCAUAUCAAGCAAUUCAAAUUUCAGUACUUAUAUACUGCAACAAGUUACUUUUUUAUUUUUAGUCUUCGGAAGACCAGAGAAGAGCUAUUAUAACAUUUAUCAUAUAUGAUCCUGCAUAGAUUCUAAAAUGAAAUUUUAGAACAAGUUAUCCACAAUCUGUGUCUUCUAUUAUAAAUUAGGCAACUUUGAGCAAGAUUCACUGUCCUUAAUUAUAUAGCUUCUUAAUAUUUUCCAGCUAUGCACUUCUUCUUUUAUUUUAUUUCUAUAAAAAGAGAUAACAACGGAUUUUAAUGAUCUUGGAAAUCCGAAUGAUAAUAAUAUAGCAGCUCACCGUUUCAAGAGAAAAAUAACAUCUGCUUUAAUUUCAGUUUGGAUGACAGUAGCUGCAAGCUUGCUCCUACCAUGUAUAUAUGUGCUUGUAUGGCAUAGAAAGAGAGGAAAGCUACAUUUUUUCUUAUGUGAAAAGACUAGCAGAAGCACUCAAAGGAACAUUGAGGCCCUAAUAGUUUUGCAUGGAUCCCUAGCUCCAAAAAGAUACAAGUAUUCAGAAGUAACAAAGAUAACGUCUUCCUUUAGUAAUAAGCUUGGGGAAGGUGGUUAUGGUGCAGUUUUCAAAGGAAGGCUAGAUGAUGGUCGUCAAGUUGCUGUGAAAUUCUUGCAUGAUUCCAAAGGAGAAGGGGAGGAGUUUGUUAACGAGGUUAUGAGCAUUGGUAGGACCUCUCAUGUUAAUAUUGUUAACUUAUUUGGGUUUUGUUUGGAAGGCUCAAAGCGGGCCAUAAUAUAUGAGUACAUGCCCAAUGGUUCUUUGGAUAAGUUCAUAUACUCAGAGAAUCCUAAAGCAGUUUUAGGAUGGGAUAAGCUCUACACAAUAGCGAUUGGAAUUGCUCGAGGAUUGGAAUACUUGCAUCACAGUUGUAAUACACGCAUUAUCCAUUUUGAUAUCAAGCCUCAAAAUAUCCUUCUAGAUGAGGAUUUUCACCCAAAGGUUGCUGAUUUUGGUUUGGCCAAAUUAUGUCAUACCAAGGAGAGCAAGCUUUCUAUGGCUGGUGCUAGAGGAACAGUUGGUUUCAUCGCUCCUGAAGUGCACUCUCGAACCUUUGGAGUUGUUUCAACUAAAUCAGAUGUUUAUAGUUAUGGAAUGAUGCUAUUAGAGAUGGUUGGAGGCAGAAAAAAUGUGAAUUCAAUUGCUCAAAAGUCAAGUGAAAAGUAUUUUCCACAUUGGAUUUAUGACCAUUUUGGUCGAGGUGAUGGAUUACAAGCAUGUGAUGUCUCAAGUGAAAAUGAAGGAAUAGCCAAAAAGAUGAGUGUGAUUGGCCUGUGGUGUAUCCAAAUACUACCAAUGCAUCGCCCUACCAUAACAAAGGUUUUGGAAAUGUUUGAGCGAGCUUUAGAUGAACUGGACAUGCCACCGAGGCAAAACUUCAGCCAAAUCCUGUAAGAUAUUUAUGAUACGUUUUGCUGCAGCUACCCUGCACCAUUUACCAAUUGAUGUAGCAACAAUUCUUUUAUUGUUUUGCAGCGAAGAUCCAAAUUACAAUUUGAAUGCACAAAGCUUGAGUACAAGCAGUGGUACCAAAACACAAGUUUUUAGCGAAGUGCUAAAGAUGAAGGAGAUGAGCUUAGAGAAUUCAAAACUCUUACAGCGGUUACCAACUCUGUGACAAGGUUACCUAGCAUUGGAAUUGAGCAUUGAACUUGUGCAUGUGUAUUGGAGGGGGUAGAAAUCUUAAGUUACUCAAAUACUUGUCUCAAAACAAAAUGCUAAAUGCCUACUAUAUUAUUUUGCAGUCAAAGCCAUUAAGGCCCCAAGAGGGAAAGUUAUAUCUGCAAGUAUUCAUACGAUAUUUUUGACAUAAUCCUAACAUACUUAUAUCCUGUUAAUUAGAGCUUCUCGUUGUGCUUCACUGAUGCGCCAGCACCCCUUAUAGUCAUCCAACACCCAAACUUUACCCAAAAUCUCCUAAAUGUUAAUGACACAUCUGUACUGGAAUCAAUUAACAUUUGAAAAAUAUUCAUCAAGGCAUUACGCGUCCUAGAAAAAUCAAGACAUUCAGUUUUGAAGCUAUGACCUUAGUAGAGUCGAGCAGCAUAUAGUUGGAUCGUCCUGGAUUAAUGGCAUGCUGAAAUAUGAGGAUGGAGCUGAUGGUAGCCAUGACUGAGGUCGAAAAGGGCAUGCAUGUUGCUUGACUAUUUUUUUUUGAACGAAUGGGCACGAGGUUAUGCCUAUUUCAUUGAUAGAGAAGGAUAGUACACCCGGCUAGCUGGUUAGGAUACACAUGACUACGCAAUUACUCGCGAGAUGAAAAAACCGCUAAGUCCUUUGCGCCCGCUAUCAUCCACGCUCCGGCUUCUUCCUUGAUUUUCACGAAUAAUGCAAUGGUUGCCAUUUCCUUUUGAUUGAAUUCACACCUUUUGCUUUCCUUCCAGAUUUCCCAUAUGAUGAGCAGUGUAAUGGAGCACAUUUCCUUCCUUCCAGAUUUCCCAUAUGAUGAGCAGUGUAAUGGAGCACAUUUCCUUCCUAGGCGCUUCUGUUUUGGUAGUCAUGUUUAUCCACCAGUCCAGCGUGUUGUUGCUUUGUCGUCAUGCUGAGGGGUGUAUGCUUGGUUGUGCCGUCCAAUCCGCCACCAGGCUCCAAAUCCUUUUGGUGAAUCUGCAUUCGGCCAGUAGGUGAUGGGCUAUCUCUAUUCCGCAUCUGCAUAAAGGGCAUGAAGGAGAGUGUGGCCAUCCCCUACGCACUAGCCGAUCAGCUGACCACACUCGGUUUUGUAGUAUUAGCCAUGCAAAUAAUUUGCAUUUCGGCGGCGCCCAAUAGCGCUAGAGUGUUUUGCUAUGUGGUGUUUUGGUGGAUCCAAAAAAAUGUGCUUUGUACGCCGAGGCCGUCGAGUACUUGCCAUUCGCCAAACUUCCAGCAAAUACUGUCCUCCUGUUGUGGUUGUAAUUGGACCUCUGUAGUGAGUCACCAAAGCAUCGUAAAUUCUUGAAGGUGCAAUGGUGUAAUGCCACCGUGUAUGUUUAGGUCCCUGAUCCAGUUAUUCGCCUACAAGGCUUCUGCCACGCUUCUUUUUUCUUUUUGAGAUCGCGAAAAUGUUAGGUGCAAAGUCCUUUGGCCUACGGCCUUGCAUCUAGCCCGACUGCCAGAAGCUCGCCUUGUGGCCAUUCCCUACUGUGAUGUUCGUACAAGCCGUGAAUAGAAGUCUAUCAGUGUCAUCACAUGGUGUCUCCAUUCCGAUCCAUGUUUUUUGCUACUCCCAUUCAUGCCACAGCCAUAGUAAUCUGAGUGGUCUUGCAAACUUGCGUAGAUUAAGAACCCCCAGUCCUCCAUUUUCCUUUGGUAGACAGCUUCUAAUCCAAUUUAUACCUUGCAUUUGCCCCCAGUCAGUGCUUUGUCUCCUGCCCUCAAGAACUUUUUCCUUAUUUUGUCUAGAACGUCAAAGACUUUGUUUGACAUCUUGAGUACUGUCAAUAGGUAGAGCAGUUGUGCUGUUAGCACCGUUUUGGUGAGGCAGGUAUGCCCUACUUGGUUGAGAUUGCGGCCGAGAGCUUGCCUGCUGCUUUGUCGAUCAAAGGUUAGAAGUCAAUUUUCUUUAGUCGCCUUAUUGCGAGCGGGAGUCUGAGGUGUCUUAUCAGGAGUCCUGUUGUAGUUAUUGGGAGCCUCGAUAGGAUUUCCUCCAGGUUGACACACUCACAGCUUAUUGGAGCCACACUUGUUUUUUGAAGGUUUGUUCUCAGUUCGGUUGCCUCGCCAAAAAGGCUCAAUAGUUGUGUGGCAUUCGCAAUGUCUGCAGCUGUUGGCUUUAUGAAGCUAACUGCGUUGUCAGCAUAUAUUGAGAUACAUGCGUGUGCUACUCGCCCCUCCAGCUUGCUUAGUAGGCCUAAGUCCGUUGCUUUGUGUAUUAGCUGGUAUAGUGGGUCUAUCGCCAGGAUGAAGAGGAAAGGGGACAAUGGGUCUCCUUGUCGUAGGCCGUGUCUAUGCACAAUCGAGUCUAACAGGAUGUCGUUCAAUAGAAUUUUUGAAGUGGAUGUGGUGAGCAUUGUCGUGAUCUAGUCCCGCCAUCUUGGGGGGAAGCCUCUGUGCUAGAGUAGUGAGAGUAGGUAGUCCCAAUGCACCGAGUCGAAGGCCUUUGAGAUGUCCAGCUUCAUUAGUAAAGUAGGUGCUUUGUUCCUGUGGAAUCGAUGGCUCAUAUUCCGAACAUACAAGAAGUUGUCAUGGACACUUCUUCCUUUGAUAAAGGCACUCUAACAUGGCGAUAUUAGUGCUUCCAUAAAUGGCGCUCGACGUAGCGCAAGUAUUUUACUGAUGAUUUUGGCGAUGGCGUGUGUUAGGCUGAUUGGUCUGAAGUCUUGGAUGCUUUCGGCCCCCUCCUUCUUGGGGAGUAGUACUACUGUAAUGGCCUCGGAUAAAAAUCCUUUGCGUCAAUCUUAAUCCGAGUCCCUUAUCACCUGUCUCAGUUUUCCCAGCCUAAGUGUUCAACCUCCAGAUCUCCCGACCCCUUCGAUCCGACCCCUCGCCGUGUUUCCCGAGUUCCGACCCCGCCGACCCCCAACCCACCGUCGGAUCUUUCUAAGCCAUCCCACAGCGUCGCCCUUCAAUUCGAGCCGUGGACCUCCGAGACUGACCGGUGGACCCACGAGAUCUUUCUUCCAGAUCUCCCGCGACAGGCGCACUCGAGUUGCAUGCCCGCUUCAGAAUUCCCCAGCCGCGUGGCUCAACUCCUCCGACGCCCGCCGUUCCACCUCGUCGCCGGCCACGACCGGAUGGAUUCUCGCGCCCCCUUCCCCAAUCGCGGUAGAAGCUCCUCUGCUACCCUUUCUGCAGCACCUCGCCGCCCGCGCCCAUCAUCACAUCGCCAGAUCCCGGCUGCAGAGCCCGAUGCCGCCCGUCUUUUCCGUCACCUCUCCACAGUCGCGCCGCCCCGGUCCUCGCUACGCGACGAUUCCUCCUCCGCCAACCCAGACCGCGGCAGCGACAGCUCCUUUUCCCGCCUUGUCAGAAGCUCCUCCCCGACAAUCUGUUGCUCCGCGCUCGCCCGCGCGACCGCAGCCGCCUGUCUUCUCACCUGUGCGCCCUCGUUUCUAGCGUCGUUUUCCCAGUCACUUCCAUCAGAUCCACCGCAUGACGACGCCCACCUCUGCCAAAUCUCAACCACCGGCAAACCCGCGCCUACGCCGCCCUGACGUCAGUGCCCAAUAACCGCCGGUGUCAUCCCCGAUUCCUGCUCCACCGCCCUCGUCGCUCAAUCGUCGCCCCAGCAGGGCACUCCAUCGCUUCUUCCCCGGCCUUUGCGCCGCUUCCCCCUUCCCUCUUCCGCGCAGCUAUAAAAUGGAAUGCCGGAGCCCCGCCGGAGUUCCCCUUUGCCAUCGCUGCCCUCUCUCUUACUCCCUGUUCGUGCUCACAGCGCCACCACCUAAGUCUGAGGAACUCUCCUCUCCGCGCAAACACCACCUUCCCCGAAUCCACCAGCCACUGCUUUCAGUGCUGCCCCAGAGCUUGCUUGUGAUCCACAAGAAGCACCGCCGCCGCCGGAAUACCGCCGGACAUCCUCGCCGCUGUCCCAAGCCCCUUAGUCCUUCCGCCCAAGCCUCCUCUGUAAGAUGAAGGUAAGCUGCCGACCCUUUUGUCCGUCUCGCCCGACCCCCCCCCUAUCCGCCCGACCCCGGUUCCGUCUCGCCCGACCCUGUCUGUUCCGCCGACCCUUCUCCACCUCGCCCGAGGGCUCGGCUGUAUCUUUUUCCUUGAACCGAGGGUAUAUGUGUAAAACUUGGGGACUUUUCAGCGUUAAGUCUGAGGAUCCCUAGCACAUCUAUUCCUCUAGAUUAAGGGUCUGAUCAUAAGUUCCUUCCCAUCCGACCCUCAUAUCUUGAUCUCCAUCAACUCAAGCGAACCUCCCCACCCUCCUGUAACUUGCCGCAAAUUUCUGGGCUCAAACUUGCAAGUGUUGCUGUUGAAAUAACCGUCUAAAUGCUAACCAAUGCAUUGCAUUCGUGUAGAGCUGCGUCUCGCCGACGGCUUCUACGAGUUGCACCCGACGCCAGAAGAAGAAGGUGUAGCCGAGCUCCUGCCUCCAGAAGCCGAAGCUGCCCAAGCAGACGAGCAGUUUCCCUCCUCCUUGCUCGAAGGCAAGCCCUGGAUGCAUGAAUUUCCCUAUGUUUUUUACCAAACUUGCGCAUGCCUUCUUUAUCAUGCUUGUGCAUUUACGUAUAGGAGUUGUUUGGAACCAUAGAUGCAUAACUUAGCUUCCUUGAUCUGAACACUAGCUGUUGGACCGGGUAGAUGCUUUGCUUAAAUAGGAAACGGUAAAAGCCGAGUGAUUUCCUAUCACUCGCGAGUUGUAGGAGUUGGUUGUUUCCCCUUCUGUUACAACUAUAAGGAUGAUGGACGGGGCAGGGUUUUGGGUAACUUUUUGGUGGUCGGUUGAUCGCCCCGUAUGUCUAUGAAACUUGCUAAGGCCCGACAGUGGUGGUGUUUGUGAUCAAGUGUUUGAAAGUACUAAUCUCAUACCUAGUAUGGGAUGGGGAAGCCUAGUACCUGAUUGAACUAGAGCGUGGCUUAUACCCCUGUUGUCCCUGGAAUAAGGUUCCCAUGGUGCAUCAUGUGGGUGCAAGUGUGGUCACAGUACGGUAGAGGCCGGGACUGUGGAGCAUUGCAUGCCAAGGGAAGUUUGGACCUGACACGCGCCUGGGAAUUGAUGGGGACGGCCGACACAGGAAGCGACCCUUGUGGUGCGCGGAUAUCGUGAGAUUAGGUUCGCCAUGCAUGGUUAAGAAACUCGAAAUCGAUUCGUCUGCCUCUCACAGUUUGAGAUUGCUUGAUCGCUAUGUCAUCCCGAGUAAUAAAGGAAUCUGAUGAUGACAUGGUUUGUGAUGAUAUGUAUAUAUACCCUUGGUUGGUUCUAUGGUUGCUUAGAAUAAGUUGCUAACUUAGACUGGAUAAUGAACUUAGAACCUGAGCUAAAACUUUGAAAGUAGGGAUACACCUAGUGCUUUUGGCAAAGCAAACCCCUCAGCCAAAAAGCUUUGCAUGUCUAGAAGAAGUGGGGUAGCGUACUCCCUGUCGGUUAAGUCUUGUUGAGCUUAGUAGCCCAGCCUUGUUGUGGCUCUUCUUUUCAGGUGAAGUUGCUGCCUCUGAGCCUCCCUCUGCUGGCACUUGGCCGCCCCAACUCCCUCCGGGUUGGACGGUUGAGUGGGAUCCCUCCUUGGACGGCGAGGAGAGGGAUCACUGAUGUCCCGGUGGGCCUCACCAGGGAUGUCCGACCCCGACGAGUUAGCUUCCGCUAGUUGUUACCUUCUGUUGUUUCUCUUCUGAACUUGUAAACUCUGAUGUUGUUUUAUGGCCAAACUAAAUGGUUAAUUUGAUAACUCGGUGGACUUGUUGUAUUCUCUGGAACCGCUCACCUUCGUGUGGGUUUGCUAUUCGGUCCUAUUCAAGUGGUUAAAUCGGAUGAACUCCAACGGCACUUCAUGUUUACUCGGUUUAGGCGUGAGCGUCGCGUAUCAUGCGGCUUAAUCAUGUUUAACCAAGUAAAUUCGAAGUGGAUCCGCCACAACUACAUUAGCUAUGUUGAGGAGGUUGAGGUCUUUGCAACGAAUGUUGUGGAAGGCAUUAACGGCCAUUGUGACAUCACCUUUGAUUAUGUGCCAACACGAUUUGAAGAAAAGGCCGGUGAAGCUGUCCGGUCCUGGCACCUUGUUCUUUGGAAGCUCUAUGAUUGCAUGAAGUAUUUCUUCCUCUGAAAAGGGGCUAUCAAGCGCGCGUAGAUCCACCGCUGGAAAGUCCAUAAUCUCCCAGUUUAGGUCUCUAGUGCGAUGCUGCGGCAAGCACAUCAUGUUCUUAAAGUGGUCUUGAAUUACCCUUUGCUUGUCUUGGUGGGUUAUUGCCCAGCCACAUUCCUUCUUUAACCUCUGGAUGAAGUUUUUCCUUCUUCUAGCGUUCGCCUUUAGAUGGAAGAACUUUGUAUUUGCGUCUCCCUCGCAUAUGUAGGUGAUUCUGGAGCAUUAUUUUUUUCUUGUUUUUUCAAUAGCCGCCCUCCCAAAAGCCUCCUUUUUAGCUUAUGACGCAAGGAGUAUUCUGCGUUAGAUAGCGCUCUGGUCUCUUCAGCCGUGUCAAGGUGUACAAUGACCUCUUGGGCCAUGUGUAGCUUUAGUUUGGCAUCUGAAAUGAAUGACCUACUCCAUGCUUGAAGCGCGCGGGCAGUGGCAUGCAGCUUGUGCCCCAAUAUGUAAAAAGGCUCUGUGUGACUCAUCAGCUUGGACCAUUCUCGGGUGACUACUUCAUGGAAGCCAGGUAGGCACGUCCAGAAAUUUUCAAAUUUAAAAGGUGUCGGGCAUCUGGGCCCAGAUUGUUGCGCCAAUAGUAGCGGGCAGUGUUAGAGUGUGAGGAGGAAAGUGCAUGUAGGACAUGGUCAUUGAAGUAUAGAUCCCAGCUCUCAUUGCAGAAAACUUGGUCGAGCCAUAUUAAUGUUGGUCAACGCCUAGUGUUACUCCAGAUGUUGUGCAAAUGUAUUUCUUUUAGAUCGCAGUAAUUUAGUGCAGCUCUGAAAUGCCUCCUCAAUCGCCGAUUAAGAUUUCUAUUAUUCUUAUCUCUCGCCCUGUAAAUGAGGUCGAAAUGCCUAGGAUGAGCCAUCGCGUGUCGUCGGCCGGUCUCAUAGCACGUAGGUGUCGUAGGAAUGCAGGUUUUGCAACACGUCGUGACGGGCCAUACACUGUCGUUAGCUGGAAGGAUGAUGUGCUAUGCUUCACUACUGUUGUUGCCGAAAUGGAGAAUUGGCCAAUUUGAACAUCCUCUAUGUUGAUCACCCCGUUGUCCCAGAGGAUGAGGAUUCCUCCCUUUGUGCCUAGAGCUGGUUUGUAGGCAAAUUUGUUCAGGCCAUGCCCCCCAAGAAGGCAACUAGAUCCCCGUCGAUGUUUUGUAGUUUCAUUUCUUGCAAUGUGACAUGUUGUCAUUGCAAUUGUUUCACAAACCAUUAGACAUCUAGCCGGAGCAUUGAGACCUCGCACAUUCCACCACAUUACCUCAAAGUUGCCAAUCAUCUGGGAGUUGCUUUGUUCGCUGGCUUAAGUGUCACGAAUAGGCAAACAAAACAGUGCAGCGUGAGUUCAACUUGGAGAUCGCCUGAAGGUCAUGGCCAGCAGGGUGGAGUUUGUAGGUCAUGAAUUUUGCCUGAAGGUCGAUGCCAGCAGGGCUAGUCAAAUGUCCUCUCCGAAGGUCGCACCCAGCAGGGUGAGGAACUGAUGAUACAAUGCAAUAACGAUACAUUGCGUGCUAUUGACAUGCGUAGGUAGUGCGCCUUGUUUGGAUCAUCAUGGCACCACGUUCUACUUCUGCUGUAGGUCUUGUACCGGGUCGCCCACCAUCUGGAGAAGCGCUUCGUUCAUCUGGUCUGCUGCGUCAUCGUCGAGGUCGAAGAGAGCGGUCAUGGCUGCUAUGACGAACUCUGGAAGGCUCCCCUGGAACAUGCUGAUGAAGUCUUGGAGAACCUGCUCAAUUGGCGCCAAUUCGUCAUCACUGACGCUAAGCUUCCUCCUUAGGUUCCACUAUGCUCGCUCCAUAGUCGGCAUCGUCGGCUUCCUAGCUAGUCGCGCGCUUCGCCGCACCUCGUUCAUGUCAAAGGUGCAGUGCUAGCACGUGCGUCGCACUAGCUGUUGUUGUAGCGCCGGUGGUGCAGGGUUGCGAAAAGGUUCUGGACGUGCGGUGUCUGCGAGCAGCCGUUGACGGCCGGUGCUGGCUCACUAGCCGGAGGCACCAGGUGAUUGUCAUCUUCUACGCUUGCAGUUUCCCCACAUGGGACAGGCCAAGCAGCAUUUGCAGGCUUGUUGGGAGGCCCACUUGCCACGUUCACUGUAGGCAGGUUGGGAGGCCCGUUUAUGACAGCCUGCGUUUGGCCUGUUGCGACCUUUUGUGCCGAAGCUUUGUGGGCCUAUUGGCCCAACAUAUGGGCCUUCUUCGAGUAGGCCGCUUCCGUCAGGGCCUCCUAGCCCAGCCUUUCCGCUGUGUUCGAAGCUGUGUGGGCCUGUUGGCCUAACAUCUAUGCCUUCUUUGAGCCAGCCGCUUCCGCCAGGGCCUCCUGCCCCAGCCUUUCCGCCGUGGCCAUAGCAGAAGCAACCACCGGAGCCUCCUCUCUCGGUGUUGCAGCCGCAGCCACUGUGACGGCGGCCACCGCGACAUCGUCUCCCGGCCUCGCAGGCAUGGCCAUCGCAGCAAUGGUUGCCGAGCACUCCGCUCCUGGCGUCAUGGCCACGGCCAUAGUCGCCGCUGCCGAAGUUGUGAUCUCUAGGCAACGAAGAGCACGUUCGACAUCAGCGGUUGUUGGUGCCAUUACCAUAUUAAUUCUAUCAAAAACUCGGUUAGUAGAGAUUAGUGACUCACUAUGGACAGACCAGGUUCCAUUCCCGGUGAUGAGGUUCCAGCGUGCCGUGGCAGGGGCGUCGUCGAUGCCAAGCCGGUAAGCGAGGCGGCAUGCCUUGUCGAUGUAGCCCGCAGCAUCAUGAAGCCACACCUUCGCUAUGUCACCGAGACGUGCCUGCAUCCCUUUCUUGAGCGCCGAGGCCUGCGCACAAAAUAGAGCUUGCACUGUCGUAGGCUCCAUGGCUCUGAGCUCCUCCACAUUCGGCAAGGCAGGUGAGUUUGCAGAUGCGCAGCUCCCUCACUCCUGCGACGUCCACCAUGGAAUGCUCCGUCCCGGCGGCGUGGUGACCAUGUCGGCUCCCGCGCGCACGACAUCGUGCCGUUCGGGGUUGCGGUGAGUGCCACUAACCCCCCGGCCGGGGUGCGUGUAGUCGUCGCCGCUGCCGUCGUCGUCGUUGUCAUUGCGCUGAGGCUAAGUGAAUCCCCCUUCCUUGCAGGUGCGCCCAUCAGCGCGGCGCCUGCCGUCCCCACGCUUGUAGUCGCGCCUUCUGUCGCGCCUCUGCUUGCCAGCCGCUCACCUUUUGUCAUGCGGGUGCUCCUGGUCGCGGCCAUCGUGCUCGCGGGGUGGCUGAGAAAGGCGCACCGAGAACCUUGACCUUGUCUCCACUAGAGCUCCAUCCAUGAUGCCGUAGCGCCAAACGUAGGGACGUCAGAUCGGAGCGAAGGCGGCAGGGUUUGCCACCACGCCUAGCAGGUCAUGGGCUGCUGCCAAGUAGUCCUCAACGAGGCCAAUGUGAAGGAAAACCUCGUAGCGAAUUCCUUGCUGCUAGCGUUCCAGCAGCUCCUGUGACGCAGCUCCUGUGUGAUGAAGACCGUUGCCGUGGAUUUGUCGGAUGGCUUGUGGGUGAAGACUAGCCACAAGCGCUUGGGGAUCUGGCUCGGAUUGGCAAUCCACGCGUACAGGUCAAUAUGCCUCGUGUCCGUCGGUUGGACGAGGUCGGUGUUGAUGCACUGUAGGGCGCAUUUGCUACCAAUGACGCGUUCGACGAUGUCCGGCGUCCAAGCAUGGCUAGGGAUACCAUCAAAGUAGACCCUGUCGCAGUAGAAGAUCCACAUGCCCAGCGCGUGCGUGAGGCUGCGCCAGCGCUGCAGGCAAAUGUUGAUGUCAUUGCCCUAGAAUCUACCUUGUCGCCUUGCCUCAUCGCACUUGUCGUUGUGCUCGAACCGGAUUAGGAAUGGCUCCGGUUGGUUGCUGGUGAUGGUGAUGGUGCCACGGCGCAGCUGCAGCUUGUUGAGCAGGAGGGUUUCAAUGUCCUGAGCCCCAGCGCACCGUGGCAGGUGGAUUGCCCACGAGACCAGUGUGCAUCCCUCCAAGCCACGGGCAUCCUGUUCGAGGUUGAAGGAGUUGGGGAUGAAGACCGUCCCACAUCAGGACGUGUGUAGGGUCUCCAAUCGCCAUCGGCUUGACGCCCGGGUGCAGCGACAGUGGCGGCGGUGGAUGAGGCGUAGGAUAUGACGGUUGAGGCAGCGGGGGCAGAGGAGUUGGUGGCGGUGGAUGAGUUGUGGCCCGGCGCACUGGGGAGUUGAUUUGCUGGUGUCAGUGGUCCGGAGUCGGGGUUGGGCGUUGCUGACGGCGGGCAUGACAGUGGCAUUCCCGGUACCCCGACCGGCGACAGCAGAAGCACCAAACUGGGUCUCUGCAAGCAGACGCGCGAUGGUCCCAGGCGAGGCAGUUGAAGCACCUCCCCGCGGUGGCCAGAUUGAAGGCUUGGAGAGUUGCGGUUGGCCGGCACCUUGAAGAUGGCCUUGAAGAGGGGUCUUGUCGGCCGUCGCGCUGGCGUGGGCUGGCACGCUCAAGACGCAUUGAAUGUCGUCUGUGGCCUCGUACCACUAUCCAGCCCGACUCCAUGCCAUGUCUUGUACUGCCUCCUGCUCGAGCAGUCUCCUCGGCUCCGGUGGAUUUGGGCCUUGUUUACUUCCCAAGUUGGGAGUUGCAAAAUUGGCAUUUUGCUAUAAAUGCGACACUGUAGCGUUUCGUUUGUAUUUGUGAAUUAUUGUCCAAAUAUUGACUAAUUAGGCUCAAAAGAUUCGUCUCGCAAAGUACAACAAAACUGUGCAAUUAGUUUUUGAUUUCGUCUACAUUUAGUACUCCAUGCAUGUACCGCAAAUUUGAUGUGAUGGGGAAUCUUCUUUUUGUAUAGUGUUAAAGUUGGGAGUUUGGAGGGAAGUAAACAAGGGCUUAGAUGUGGGGACGGCGUGGUGGAGUAAAGGCUGUAGCAGGGAGAUCCUGGUGCGCAGGUGAGCGGCGAGCUAGCGGAUCUUGGGCAGGCGGUGGAGUAAAUGCUGUUGACGGGGGGCCUGACCUGCCGCGGCGGACGGCUUCCGCGUAGGUGGAAAGGGGUUUUGGCGUGGCCAGCACCGGAUCCAGUUGGGGGGAGCACGGAUCCGGCGUGGGUGGCACCCAAUCGACCUCGUCGGUCAGCGGGCAACCAUGGCGUGGCGGCAGAGGUGGGGAAUCGAGGAAGAAGCUCUCCCACGGGCUUUGCUGCGCCAGGGUGGAGGACGCGUGGAUCUGCUUUGGUGCAGUUUGGUGUUGUGGCUGGCGGCUCAGGAUCUUUGGUGGGGUGGGCGGGUUGGGCUCCGCCGUCCGCCGGCGGCGAGGGGACGACGACGGGAGGGGUAGCGGGUUGGGGGCGCACAUUUGUCUCUGCAGGAUACCGGUCGGGGGCGCACAUCCUGUCAAACGCCUUGCAUUGCUGCUUGCUUGACUAUUUGAGUUAGGUUCCAAAUACCGGUGCAUCAAUUUUAAUUUUUUCUGAGUAAUUAUUCAGGUUCCUACCAGAAGUUAACCUUUAAGGUUGACAGUUGAUACCCACAUCUAACUGAACCAAAAAAAAUCUACUUAAUCCAAAUGCACAUGAUCUCAUUGCAAAAUCGGAGUACGUUUCUCAAACAGUAUAAGCACCAAAUCAAAUUGAUGUACGCAUCUGAGUAUCUGACUCAACUUAAAAAUCACAUCUGUGAGUAAAUACACGGAAGAACGGAGCAGUCGAAGUGCAUGAUACUUACAUGGUUCCUUAAUACCUGAUGCUUCUCCGAUUCUCCCAAAGCAACAAGGCUAGAGCAGGCGGGCGUACCCAAGGAACUACCCAAUAGUGGCGCGAGAUUGGAUCCUGCAGUCCUCUCCAUCUGCAGCCCCAAUCACCGGCACCGAGUCGGCGAUGCGGCAAGGCGUAGACUGGGGAGAUUUCCUCAUGGGAUAGUACCAGCUGCGAGUGCGCCGUAGGAGAUGGCCGAGAAUGCAGUGGCUGGGGAUGGUUCUGUUCACCGCCGCGCAUCUCGACGGACGACGGCGAGACGGGUAGACGACGCCGGCGCAGGGCGGAUCUCCAUGGACUAGGCCACCAUGCUCUACGCAGCCGAGCCCAUUCAGUGGUGAGGGCCCAUCAUCAAAAGUUGGACCGUGAUGCGUCCUGGGUCCAUCCAUAUGCCCGCCGUGCCGUAAACUUGUGCCGGUCUGAGCCAGACAUCUUCCAUCCCGUUGCUUUGCCUUCGAUGGCUCAAUAUACAAUCUGUCACAAUUCAGUCCAAAAAAAAAGAAAAAGAAAGAAAAGAACACAAUUUGUCAGAGAAAUUCCACACUCUUAUUGUAAAACUUGGUGCUGCAUUGUAAUUAUCCGCGCUCUGCAGAUUCCGAUAGACGUCACGUCACUACUUGAGAAGGUUGGUAAGGUGUUUUUUUUCCGCGAUCAUACCUUAGCACGUAUUUCAUUAAGAGAAGAAGAAAAGUUUGGUUACAAGAACUUGCAGCGUCAUCUGAGAUUGAUGACCUGCUAGCGCAUACAAGAAUUAAGAAGAAAUUACAUUUGCACCUUGCUGCGACCCUACUAACAGGUUACCAGGUAUGAUGUUGGGGUGGGCGGCUGCUGUAAAUGGCGCCAGGCAAUGAAAUCCUGCCAAAAUGGACAGCAUCCCCGUCGUCAUCUGAGCAUGAUUGAAAGUUCUUUCAUUUCUUUCCAACCAAAUGGACCAACCCACCAGGAUAAUGAGAGAGUCUAAUGUUUUCCUGGCUGACCUAUCCACACGUUUUCUCACUACUAGCCACCAGUCAGGAAAGGAGGACUCAGAAACAGAGGGUGCUAAGUGCUGCCAAUUCAGUUCCGAUAGAAUAAGAUGCCACAACUCCCUUGCAUAGACACACCUAACUAGCAGAUGGUUUAUGGUUUCAGACUCCUGGGUACAAAGAAUGCAAGUGUCGUCAUUUUAAAGAUUAUGUUUCUUGCGUCUAGAGGCUGUCCAGCAGCGUCCAUUGAUAGCAAGCCAUAUGAAGAAUUUGCAUUUAGGGGGUGCUCGGGUCUUACACAAAGCCUUUGCCCCAUGUAUUUCAUACUGUCCAAUGAAGAAUGCAUUGUAGGCCGAUGCCGUUGAGAAGUUCCUGUCUUGAGUCCAUUUUCACAAUACCUUGUCAAGUGUAUCCUCCUGUAAUGUGAUCUGUUGUAACUUGGUCCAAAUGCUUAUGUAUUCAAGAAGAACUCGAACAAUCAAUGCUCCAGUAAUGUCCCUGACCCAUUUUCCAUCUUGCAAUCCUUCACUUACUGUCCUUUUUUUUGCGAGCUCUAGGACCAAUCGCCUGAAGGAGACAUGGAGCAAUCUCUGCAAUCGAGCGACCGUCAAUCCAUCUAUCCUCCCAUAAAAGGAUGUUCUUGCCGUCGCCUACUUGAGUUGAGGUGGAGUAGUAGAACAAUUGGGCGACCUGCUGUUCAAUUGAAUCAGGUAAGUUAUGCUAUGAACGUGAAGUGUCAAUUUUCUUAAGCCAGAACCACCGCAUUCUUAGAGCAUAUCCCAUGAGGCGUAGGUCCGUAAUUCCUAGACCUCCCAAAAUAGAAGGUCGACAGCAUUUCGUCCAUGCAAGGAGACAAUGACCGCCAGAAAUCAUUUCUGUACCUUUCCAUAGAAAGGCCUUCCUGCGCUUGUCUAUUUGCUUGAUUGCCCAUGAAGAGAUGGCGACCGCGAUAGCCGUGUGAAUUGGAAUGGCUGACAUUUUUACCUUAACUAAGACUGUGCGUCCUGCCCUGCUCAUUAGCUUCGCCUUCCAUGUGGGCAAUCCAUCACAAACCUUAUCCACCAACUGCAUCAGGUCAUUCCUGCGAAGCUUUUUGACUGACAGCGGUAUUCCCAAGUACUUGCAUGGUAGGGGUUCGAGAUGACCGGGGAAGAAUUUGAGCAGCCUGAUUAUCUGUUCCAGGUCGCAUUGUAUGGGAGAGACAAGGCAUUUGUCUAGGUUUGUUUUAAGACCGGAUGCAGCUCCAAAGGUUGGUAAGGUGUUGGUUUCAGAAAACUGGUGCAUACGGUGCUAGUCCUCUCCUGUGAUUGCACUCAGCUCGUCCUCCGAUUCUGAUGGCUCUUGGAGUGGUCGACGUCGACGGUGUUGUUGCCCCAGACCGUCUCCACGGGCCUCCCGGCCGCCGCCGAUCUCCCAGACCAUGUUGAUUUUGUAACUGCACCAAACCGCACCGAUCAGCUUUAUUUAUACACUGAUUUAUAACUGAAGGCUUCCUCUGAGAAAUCAAGGGAGUGGUAUGGAUUUGCGAAAUGGGACUCAUCCAUCGGACUGGGACUGCACAAGUUUGCAUUUAGAAGAGGGAUCAGGGAUGGAUGCAUAUAUAUAAUCUUUUUUCCCUAGUACAAUAGUCAGCAACAUGAGUGGAUGCUCAUAGCAGGAUUUGGCAUGUCCAUCUGCUAGUUGCAUGGCUUAUAAAUCCACUGCAUCUUGGCAGCACAUUGGCGUUGCUUUAGUCCUGCCCCUAUCGAUCCUUCGUAGGUCCCUUGCAUUUGUUUUCUUGCAUUGUAUUAGUAUAAAAAAAACAAGUUCUGGUUCUGCUCGUGCAACAAAUAGUCAUAGAGAUACUUUGACGUGGAAUAGUCAGAUUAGACUGACCAACCAGCAGUGUUGGAGGAGACUAGACUUGGACCUACUCCCGGCUCCCACACGGCCACGGAAAUUGAAUUAAGUUUCUGUCAGUUCAGCUCAGAAGACUAACCUGUCAAACUUCGCCUACAACAGUUGCAUUCGUCGAACCAUCAUCAUUCGCUGACUUACCACUUUCAUAACUUUCUCAGGGAAAAAUAAAACCAGCCACCAACAUGGUCUGGUGAUUGCCGGCUUCUCCUCUGCGGCACCUUGUUAGCACACUUGCAGUCCCUCCUAUCGCGUUGCAAAGAUGCAACCGUCCCUUGCUCCUGCAGCCGCCGUGCUACUGCUCGCUCUGCUAACCAGUCACACCGCCACUGCUGCCGUAAACACGUCGACGCCGUGCGCGACAGCCUCGUGCGGGAACCACACCGUCGACCUGAACACGUCGACGCCGUUUGCGCCGGCGCUGUGCGGGAACCUCACCAUCGCCUACCCGUUCUGGCUCGCCGGCACGCAUCCGCCGGAGUGCGGCUACAUACAAGGCCUUCCAGGUUACGUGCGACAAGCAUGGCAACCUUUCCAUGACGACGAACUCUCGUAGAAAUAUGAGAGAAGUUGGAUUACAAUGCGACCGUGUCCUCGUAUUUAUUUAUAGGGGAGCGAGCACCUUACAUAAUUACAACACCCAGUUCUAUUUAUAGAGGAGCUCGAAGAGCACUGAACCGUCAAAUAUUUCACUCAUUCAUUCCUUUUAGCAAAAGAAUCAAUUAGUGCUAUUUAUGGAUUUUCUAAAUUAAUAUUCUAUAUGGUAUUUCAGGUGGCCAUAAUGGCAGGAUUACAAUACUGAUAGGUAUAUGCCACAAUUCGACAUAAUUUCAUAUCAAGUAAUGCAAAUUUCAGUACUUAUUUAUUGAACAAGUUACUUUUUAGUUCUAGUCUUUGGAAGACCAUAGAAGAGCUAUUAUAACGUUAUCAUAUAUGUUUGUGCAUAGACUCUAAAAUGAAAUUUUAGAACAAGUUAUCCUCAAGCAGUGUCUUCUAUUAUAAAUUAAACAAUUUGGAGCAAGAUCCGUUGUCUUUAAUUAUAUAGUUUUUUCCUAUUUUCCCACUAAGCACUUCUUCUUUUAUUUUAUUUCCAUAAAAAGCGACAGAAACGAAUUAUUUCUGAUCUUGAAAAUCUGAACAAUAAUAAUAUAACUCACUGCUUCAAGAGAAAAAUAACAUCCGCUUUAAUUUCAGUUUUGAUGACAGUUGCUACAGGCUUGGUCCUACCAUGUGUAUAUGUGCAAGCUUUGCCUCCCCUUGCACACAUCCCCAUUCCCCAAUCCCCUCCAUUCCGCAGCCUCCUAGCUCCUAUACUGAUCGAAAAACAAGCUUGAUGCAUCCGGCCCUGGUCCUCUUCCCGCUGGCCGCCUCCUUGCUCCUCCUCCAAGACCAUGCAAGCGCCGACUGCGAGCCGGCGACAUGCGGGAACCUCACUCUCAGAUACCCAUUCUGGUUGGGCAGCGGCAACCAGACCUCAUCACCCUGCGGCCACCCGUCCUUCGAGAUCCGGUGCAGCGACGACCGCCGCCGGAGCGUAGCCUCACUGAAGGGCUCCUCCAUCCACGUCCUCUCCAUCGAUUACGCCAACUACUCCUUCGUCGCCUCCCACACCAGGGUCGCCGCCGCCGACGGCGUGUGCCGCACCGACUUCAACAUGUCGGUCAGCAUCGCGAUCAGCCAGUUCACCAUUAGCCCCCGGAACCGCGCCCUGUGCUUCCUCUACAACUGCACCGGCGGCGCGGCCCCGAUCGGGCCCGACGAGUACGUGAACGCCACCUCCAGCUGCCGUGCCCCCAUCUACGCGUACCUCGGCGGGGCCUACUACUGGGACAAGCCGCCGGCGAUCGCGACGGACGGGUGCACGUACACGUACUUCCCAGUGCUGGGGCGGGAGCCGGAGACCAUGACGGCGGCCAACUACAGCCAGCUCCUGAAGGACGGAUUCGUCCUGGAGUGGGAGGCGGCAGGGAUCGGGAUCGGCGACUGCGCCGCCUCCGC